CGUUUCCGCCUCACUGGCCUGCGCUUUGCCUCUUAGGAGAAGACUCCGGGACUUGAUUAUUCUUAGAAAUGCACUUGACCUGCUUUUGCCAAAGCUUGCCAGAGUGAUCUCUCGGCUUGCCGACUUUGCUAAGGAACGAGCCAGUCUACCCACAUUAGGUUUCACACAUUUCCAGCCUGCACAGCUGACCACAGUUGGGAAACGUUGCUGUCUUUGGAUUCAGGAUCUUUGCAUGGAUCUCCAGAACUUGAAGCGUGUCCGAGAUGACCUGCGCUUCCGG
rnacentral:sRNA from 1 species